AAGGGGGUACAGAACACCUAAGAAAAGAUAACUCUCACUCAUGGUCUGAUUCAUUGCUACGUUUUAAAAUAAUGUGCAAUAUGCAAGCUUUUAAAAGAUCAUGAUUAGAAUGUUUACAUUAUUGCUAAGAGCAGCUGUACACCUAUUGUUAUUCAUUUAAUCUUUUAAUCCAUUUAAAGUAACUCAUUUUCCAUGAAUGAAUUUUCAAAGAGACAUAAUAGGGAAAUUUCAGAGUGAAAUAAAUUUACCAAAAGAAAACCAGGACGUUAGAAAAGGAGGG
rnacentral:lncRNA from 1 species